rnacentral:rRNA from 1 species
GAUAAACGCUGGCGGCAUGCCUAAUACAUGCAAGUGGAACGAGUCAUUUCGGUGAUUCGUCGCGAACGGGUGAGUAACACGUAGAUAACCUACCCAAUAGAGGGGGAUAACCAUUGGAAACGAUGGAUAAUACCGCAUAGAUACUCCUUGGGCAUCUAAGGAAGUAGAAAGGAGCAAUUGCUCUGCUAAUGGAUGGAUCUGCGGCGCAUUAGUUAGUUGGUGAGGUAACGGCCCACCAAGGCGAUGAUGCGUAGCCGGCCUGAGAGGGUGAACGGCCACAUUGGGACUGAGACACGGCCCAGACUCCUACGGGAGGCAGCAGUAGGGAAUAUUGGGCAAUGGGGGCAACCCUGACCCAGCAACGCCGCGUGAAGGAAGAAGGCUUUCGGGUUGUAAACUUCUUUUACCAGGGACGAAGAAAGUGACGGUACCUGGAGAAAAAGCCACGGCUAACUACGUG